rnacentral:rRNA from 1 species
CUGCCAGCCGCCGCGGUAAUACGUAGAGUCCAAGCGUUAAUCGGAAUUACUGGGCGUAAAGCGUGCGCAGGCGGUUGUGCAAGACCGAUGUGAAAUCCCCGGGCUUAACCUGGGAAUUGCAUUGGUGACUGCACGGCUAGAGUGUGUCAGAGGGGGGUAGAAUUCCACGUGUAGCAGUGAAAUGCGUAGAGAUGUGGAGGAACACCGAUGGCGAAGGCAGCCCCCUGGGAUAACACUGACGCUCAUGCACGAAAGCGUGGGGAGCAAACAGGAUUAGAUACCCUGGUAGUCCACGCCCUAAACGAUGUCAACUAGUUGUUGGGGAUUCAUUUCCUUAGUAACGUAGCUAACGCGUGAAGUUGACCGCCUGGGGAGUACGGUCGCAAGAUUAAACUACAAGUAAGAAUUGACGG